rnacentral:hammerhead_ribozyme from 1 species
AUCCAGCUGACGAGUCGCGAAUAGGACGAGACGCUCGUCCUGAAU